rnacentral:rRNA from 1 species
GACGAACGCUGGCGGCGUGCUUAACACAUGCAAGUCGAGCGGUAAGGCCCUUUCGGGGGUACACGAGCGGCGAACGGGUGAGUAACACGUGGGUGACCUGCCCUCAGCUCUGGGAUAAGCCUGGGAAACUGGGUCUAAUACCGGAUAUGACUCCAUGACGCAUGUUGUGGGGUGGAAAGCCUUGUGCGGCUGAGGAUGGGCCCGCGGCCUAUCAGCUUGUUGGUGGGGGUGA